UAACACGUAGGUGACCUGCCCCGAAGUGGGGGACAACUCGUCGAAAGACGAGCUAAUACCGCAUGUGAUCACUGAUUCAUUUCAGUGCUCAAAGUCGCAAGACGCUUUGGGAGGGGCCUGCGGCCGAUUAGCUAGUUGGUGGGGUAAUGGCCUACCAAGGCCUCGAUCGGUAGCUGGUCUGAGAGGACGAUCAGCCACACUGGGAUUGAGAACGGCCCAG
rnacentral:rRNA from 1 species